rnacentral:rRNA from 1 species
GGCCGCGGGAAUUCGAUUCAGGCCUAACACAUGCAAGUCGAGCGGUAGAGAGAAGCUUGCUUCUCUUGAGAGCGGCGGACGGGUGAGUAAUGCCUAGGAAUCUGCCUGGUAGUGGGGGAUAACGUUCGGAAACGGACGCUAAUACCGCAUACGUCCUACGGGAGAAAGCAGGGGACCUUCGGGCCUUGCGCUAUCAGAUGAGCCUAGGUCGGAUUAGCUAGUUGGUGAGGUAAUGGCUCACCAAGGCGACGAUCCGUAACUGGUCUGAGAGGAUGAUCAGUCACACUGGAACUGAGACACGGUCCAGACUCCUACGGGAGGCAGCAGUGGGGAAUAUUGGACAAUGGGCGAAAGCCUGAUCCAGCCAAGCCGCGUGUGUGAAGAAGGUCUUCGGAUUGUAAACCUAAUUGAGUUGGGAGGAAGGGCAGUUACCUAAUACGUGAUUGUU